rnacentral:rRNA from 1 species
AAUAGCGUAUAUUAGAGUUGUUGCAGUUAAAAAGCUCGUAGUUGAACCUUGGGCCUGGCUGGCCGGUCCGCCUCACCGCGUGUACUGGUCCGGCCGGGCCUUUCCUUCUGGGGAACCUCAUGCCCUUCACUGGGCGUGUUGGGGAACCAGGACUUUUACUUUGAAAAAAUUAGAGUGUUCAAAGCAGGCCUUUGCUCGAAUACAUUAGCAUGGAAUAAUAGAAUAGGACGUGUGGUUCUAUUUUGUUGGUUUCUAGGACCGCCGUAAUGAUUAAUAGGGAUAGUCGGGGGCAUCAGUAUUCAAUCGUCAGAGGUGAAAUUCUUGGAUUGAUUGAAGACUAACUACUGCGAAAGCAUUUGCCAAGGAUGUUUUCAUUAAUCAGUGAACGAAAGUUAGGGGAUCGAAGACGAUCAGAUACCGUCGUAGUCUUAACCAUAAACUAUGCCGACUAGGGAUCGGACGGUGUUAGUAUUUUGACCCGUUCGGCACCUUACGAGAAAUCAAAGUUUUUGGGUUCUGGGGGGAGUAUGGUCGCAAGGC